UACGAAGGGUGCAAGCGUUACUCGGAAUUACUGGGCGUAAAGGGUGCGUAGGCGGUUUGUUAAGUCUGUCGUGAAAGCCCCGGGCUCAACCUGGGAACGGCGAUGGAAACUGGCGGGCUAGAGUGCGGUAGAGGGCAGUGGAAUUCCCGGUGUAGCAGUGAAAUGCGUAGAGAUCGGGAGGAACAUCAGUGGCGAAGGCGGCCAUCUGGGACAACACUGACGCUGAGGCACGAAAGCGUGGGGAGCAAACAGG
rnacentral:rRNA from 1 species